GUGAAAGUAGAAAAGCAGAAAGUUUCCGGUGAGGAAAAAUACUUCAUUCUAGCAGUGUCCAGCUAUCUAAGAUUAGUUUGCAUUGUAAGGGAAUUGUAUUAGUGUCCGAUAACAUGUAAAUUGAAAUGGAACUACUUCAAAGAAUAAAACACAACAAUGAGCCACACUUGAUAGUUUUUCAAUACAGACGCAUUUUGCCGGAAAACGAAUCUGACUUCAAACCACGAAAUUUUAACAGGAAAGAGACAAUUUGAUGAGCUUUCAUUCAAGAGGUCCCUCAUUGCUGAACGAAAAUUAGGGCCAGAGCUAUGAACCAUAACGUUAACAUUACCGCCUAUGGAAAAUGCAUUAGUGGACUAUACCCAUAUAGUGCCUUAACAGAAGCUGAAAUAUAUAAAAAUCAAAUCGAGUUUUUCUAACUAAGCUUGCAAAAAGUAAAUUUCCUUUAGAACCAAGCUAAGUUAGCGCUUUUAAGUACUAUCAGUACUUUAAUUUUUAUUUUGAUUUUGUUAUUUAAGCAUCAAAGCAUUUUAAGUCUUAGCUUGUGAAGAUGAAUAUGAGUAAACACAAAUUGUACUUAUAUGCAAGGUUUAUAUGAAACAUUUAGUGCUUCAUCGCAAUUUUUUUUAAAAACAAAUAGUUUUUUUUAAACAUUCCUAUCUCUUGAACUUAGUGCUUAGUGCUCCAUCGCAAUUUUUUUUAAAAACAAAUAGUUAUUUUUAAACAUUCCUAUCUCUUGAACUUAGUGCUUAUGCUGUUCGAGUAAUGUCUGUAUUAACUUUCUCCACCGUCACCCAUUUUCAAAUCACUCAACUCAUUCCUCCACUCAACUCUUUCAAAGAAAAGUGUAUUUAUGUUGGGUCAGUACUCAAACUUGAGGCUGAGUGUUGACUUGAGGAAAGUUGGUGACAGCGGGGCCAGGUGGAAAAGUUGUACCAGAUACUAUAGUUUAUCAGAAAAUCACAUCCAAUGACGUGUGCAAUAAUAAAGUCGACAACAUAUAUCCAGUCUGUGCUGGUACCAGCAAUGGUCAGAAGACGAGAAAUGGAGGCUGACUUUACUCAAGAUCUUUAUAAUACAAAUUCCUCUCCUGACUGAUUUGAGUGACACUUUC